rnacentral:rRNA from 1 species
AUUGAACGCUGGCGGCAUGCCUUACACAUGCAAGUCGAACGGCAGCACGGGUGCUUGCAUCUGGUGGCGAGUGGCGAACGGGUGAGUAAUACAUGGGAACAUGUCCUGUAGUGGGGGAUAGCAAGGCGAAAGACGGAUUAAUACCGCAUACGAACUACGGAUGAAAGAGGGGGACAUACGGGACUAGCGCUAUAGGGUUGGCCGAUGGCUGAUUAGCUAGUUGGUGGGGUAACGGCCUACCAAGGCGACGAUCAGUAGCUGGUCUGAGAGGACGACCAGCCACACUGGGACUGAGACACGGCCCAGACUCCUACGGGAGGCAGCAGUGGGGAAUUUUGGACAAUGGGCGAAAGCCUGAUCCAGCAAUGCCGCGUGUGUGAAGAAGGCCUUCGGGUUGUAAAGCACUUUUGUCCGGAAAGAAAUCCUUGGCCCUAAUACGGUCGGGGGAUGACGGUACCGGAAGAAUAAGCACCGGCUAACUACGUG